UUAAGCGACUAAGCGUACACGGUGGAUGCCCUGGCAGUCAGAGGCGAUGAAGGACGUGCUAAUCUGCGAAAAGCGUCGGUAAGGUGAUAUGAACCGUUAUAACCGGCGAUGUCCGAAUGGGGAAACCCAGUGCAAUUCGUUGCACUAUCGUUAACUGAAUACAUAGGUUAACGAGGCGAACCGGGGGAACUGAAACAUCUAAGUACCCCGAGGAAAAGAAAUCAACCGAGAUUCCCCCAGUAGCGGCGAGCGAACGGGGAGCAGCCCAGAGUCUGAAUCAGCUUGUGUGUUAGUGGAACGGUCUGGAAAGUCCGACGGUACAGGGUGAUAGUCCCGUACACCAAAAUGCACAGGUUGUGAACUCGAAGAGUAGGGCGGGACACGUGGUAUCCUGUCUGAAUAUGGGGGGACCAUCCUCCAAGGCUAAAUACUCCUGACUGACCGAUAGUGAACCAGUACCGUGAGGGAAAGGCGAAAAGAACCCCGGCGAGGGGAGUGAAAAAGAACCUGAAACCGUGUACGUACAAGCAGUGGGAGCACCUUCGGGUGUGACUGCGUACCUUUUGUAUAAUGGGUCAGCGACUUAUAUUCUGUAGCAAGGUUAACCGUAUAGGGGAGCCGCAGGGAAACCGAGUCUUAACUGGGCGUUAAGUUGCAGGGUAUAGACCCGAAACCCGGUGAUCUAGCCAUGGGCAGGUUGAAGGUUGGGUAACACUAACUGGAGGACCGAACCGACUAAUGUUGAAAAAUUAGCGGAUGACUUGUGGCUGGGGGUGAAAGGCCAAUCAAACCGGGAGAUAGCUGGUUCUCCCCGAAAGCUAUUUAGGUAGCGCCUCGUGAACUCAUCUUCGGGGGUAGAGCACUGUUUCGGCUAGGGGGUCAUCCCGACUUACCAACCCGAUGCAAACUACGAAUACCGAAGAAUGUUAUCACGGGAGACACACGGCGGGUGCUAACGUCCGUCGUGAAGAGGGAAACAACCCAGACCGCCAGCUAAGGUCCCAAAGUCAUGGUUAAGUGGGAAACGAUAUGGGAAGGCACAGACAGCCAGGAUGUUGGCUUAGAAGCAGCCAUCAUUUAAAGAAAGCGUAAUAGCUCACUGGUCGAGUCGGCCUGCGCGGAAGAUGUAACGGGGCUAAACCAUGCACCGAAGCUGCGGCAGCGACACUAUGUGUUGUUGGGUAGGGGAGCGUUCUGUAAGCCUGCGAAGGUGUGCUGUGAGGCAUGCUGGAGGUAUCAGAAGUGCGAAUGCUGACAUAAGUAACGAUAAAGCGGGUGAAAAGCCCGCUCGCCGGAAGACCAAGGGUUCCUGUCCAACGUUAAUCGGGGCAGGGUGAGUCGACCCCUAAGGCGAGGCCGAAAGGCGUAGUCGAUGGGAAACAGGUUAAUAUUCCUGUACUUGGUGUUACUGCGAAGGGGGGACGGAGAAGGCUAUGUUAGCCGGGCGACGGUUGUCCCGGUUUAAGCAUGUAGGCUGAUUGUCCAGGCAAAUCCGGAUAAUCAAGGCUGAGGUGUGAUGACGAGGCACUACGGUGCUGAAGUAACAAAUGCCCUGCUUCCAGGAAAAGCCUCUAAGCAUCAGGUAACAUCAAAUCGUACCCCAAACCGACACAGGUGGUCAGGUAGAGAAUACCAAGGCGCUUGAGAGAACUCGGGUGAAGGAACUAGGCAAAAUGGUGCCGUAACUUCGGGAGAAGGCACGCUGGUGUGUAGGUGAAGUCCCUGCGGAUGGAGCUGAGACCAGUCGAAGAUACCAGCUGGCUGCAACUGUUUAUUAAAAACACAGCACUGUGCAAACACGAAAGUGGACGUAUACGGUGUGACGCCUGCCCGGUGCCGGAAGGUUAAUUGAUGGGGUUAUCCGUAAGGAGAAGCUCUUGAUCGAAGCCCCGGUAAACGGCGGCCGUAACUAUAACGGUCCUAAGGUAGCGAAAUUCCUUGUCGGGUAAGUUCCGACCUGCACGAAUGGCGUAAUGAUGGCCAGGCUGUCUCCACCCGAGACUCAGUGAAAUUGAACUCGCUGUGAAGAUGCAGUGUACCCGCGGCAAGACGGAAAGACCCCGUGAACCUUUACUAUAGCUUGACACUGAACAUUGAGCCUUGAUGUGUAGGAUAGGUGGGAGGCUUUGAAGCGUGGACGCCAGUCUGCGUGGAGCCAACCUUGAAAUACCACCCUUUAAUGUUUGAUGUUCUAACGUUGGCCCCUGACCGGGGUUGCGGACAGUGUCUGGUGGGUAGUUUGACUGGGGCGGUCUCCUCCCAAAGCGUAACGGAGGAGCACGAAGGUUAGCUAAUCCUGGUCGGACAUCAGGAGGUUAGUGCAAUGGCAUAAGCUAGCUUGACUGCGAGCGUGACGGCGCGAGCAGGUGCGAAAGCAGGUCAUAGUGAUCCGGUGGUUCUGAAUGGAAGGGCCAUCGCUCAACGGAUAAAAGGUACUCCGGGGAUAACAGGCUGAUACCGCCCAAGAGUUCAUAUCGACGGCGGUGUUUGGCACCUCGAUGUCGGCUCAUCACAUCCUGGGGCUGAAGUAGGUCCCAAGGGUAUGGCUGUUCGCCAUUUAAAGUGGUACGCGAGCUGGGUUUAGAACGUCGUGAGACAGUUCGGUCCCUAUCUGCCGUGGGCGCUGGAGAAUUGAGGGGGGCUGCUCCUAGUACGAGAGGACCGGAGUGGACGCAUCACUGGUGUUCGGGUUGUCAUGCCAAUGGCACUGCCCGGUAGCUAAAUGCGGAAGAGAUAAGUGCUGAAAGCAUCUAAGCACGAAACUUGCCCCGAGAUGAGUUCUCCCUGAGACUUUAAGUCUCCUGAAGGAACGUUGAAGACGACGACGUUGAUAGGCCGGGUGUGUAAGCGCAGCGAUGCGUUGAGCUAACCGGUACUAAUGAACCGUGAGGCUUAACCUU
rnacentral:rRNA from 1 species